rnacentral:rRNA from 1 species
UACGUAGGUGGCAAGCGUUGUCCGGAUUUACUGGGUGUAAAGGGCGUGUAGGCGGGCUGUCAAGUCAGAUGUGAAAUCUAUGGGCUCAACCCAUAACGUGCAUUUGAAACUGACGGUCUUGAGUGAUGGAGAGGCAGGCGGAAUUCCUAGUGUAGCGGUGAAAUGCGUAGAUAUUAGGAGGAACACCAGUGGCGAAGGCGGCCUGCUGGACAUUAACUGACGCUGAGGCGCGAAAGCGUGGGGAGCAAAC